GAUGAAUGCUGGCGGCGUGCCUAAUACAUGCAAGUCGAGCGGUAAGGCCCUUCGGGUACGACGAGCGGUGGACGGCUGAGUAAACGCGUGGGAACAUGCCCCAAAGUGAGGGAUAACGCACCGAAAGGUGUGCUAAUACCGCAUAUGGUCUUCGGAUUAAAGGAUUUAUCCGCUUUGGGAGUGGCCCGCGUACGAUUAGAUUGUUGGUGAGGUAACGGCUCACCAAAGUCGACGAUCGUUAACUGGUCUGAGAGGAUGAUCAGUCAGACUGGAACUGAGACACGGUCCAGACUCCUACGGGAGGCAGCAGUAAGGAAUCUUCCAC
rnacentral:rRNA from 1 species